rnacentral:tRNA from 3 species
GGCUCGGUAGCUCAGUCGGUAGAGCAGAGGACUGAAAAUCCUCGUGUCGGCGGUUCGAUUCCGUUCCGAGCCA